GUUUAAAAAGGCCAUGCUUUACAUUUUUGAAUUCUGCUUCAACAGUGGCUGAGCUUGCUGUGAGGUUGGUGCUUUUGAAGAGGGGGACCAUUACUCCUGUCCAAAGUGGCAAUCCCACUGACAGAUCAUCUUUAUGCAAUGUGCCACAUCAACCCUGAUAAAACAAGGAGGACGUUUUGCAGACUGGUUCCCAAGUAGCAAACGGAAGCAUUCGUUAAUGUAUGUCUUCAGAUCGGGGUAAGGAGUGAAGGCCUUCACCAGAGCACCAAGAAUAGCCAGAGAAAAGUCACUCACGGCUUCCUUUGCAUUUGCACAACUGGGACUGAGCAGUUGUCCCCUGUCAGAACGCCUUGAUAUAAGAAGAUGUGGCCCGAUGUACCAUUUGGUCUCACCAGUCUUCUCACAACUGAGCCAGUUGCGUCAAAGCAAACUACUGAGGGGCAUUUUUUGGACAAUGCCUUAUACACAUGUAGCUGUGUUUGACUCCAAUAGUGGCAGAAGAACUUGUCUAGACCAAUGUCUCUUAUACUACCACUGUGAGGUGUGCUAUAUUUUAAUAACUGCAAAGACAAAAUGGGAUCUUUGUCACCUAAUUCCAAAUCUCUUCUCUCCUGCUUAGCUUUUCGUAGGGUGGCCAAAUUUGGAAGGUGACUUGGCUCAGCAUCUCCAAUAUCCAUCAAAUCUGAUGCCUUCGCUGACCUCCAUACAGCUGGCUCCAUCCUGCCCUCACACAGCUCUUUUGAAAUCUGUGCACGAAGGUUUCCAGACAUGAACCUCUUGGAUUG